AAUCAACGCUGGCGGCGUGCCUAACACAUGCAAGUCGAACGCGAAAGCCCGCAAGGGUAAGUAGAGUGGCGCACGGGUGAGUAACACGUGGACAACCUGCCUUCGAGUGGGGAAUAACCUUCCGAAAGGAGGGCUAAUACCGCAUAACACCUCGGGACACAAGUCUUGGGGUUGAAAAGAGCAAUUUGCUCGAAGAGGGGUCCGCGCCUGAUUAGCUAGUUGGUGAGGUAACGGCUCACCAAGGCUUCGAUCAGUAGCCGUCCUGAGAGGGAGCACGGCCACACUGGAACUGAGACACGGUCCAGACUCCUACGGGAGGCAGCAGUGGGGAAUUUUUGGCAAUGGGCG
rnacentral:rRNA from 1 species